rnacentral:rRNA from 1 species
GACGAACGCUGGCGGCGUGCCUAACACAUGCAAGCCGAGCGGGAAGCUUUUAAUUGAGACUUCGGUUGAUUUUAUGAGUGGAGAGCGGCGGACGGGUGAGUAACGCGUGAGUAACCUGCCUUCAAGAGGGGGAUAACACAGAGAAAUUUGUGCUAAUACCGCAUGACACCGUAGUGUCGCAUGACACAUCGGUCAAAGAUUUAUCGCUUGAAGAUGGACUCGCGUCUGAUUAGCUAGUUGGUGGGUAACGGCCUACCAAGGCGACGAUCAGUAGCCGGCCUGAGAGGGUGAACGGCCACAUUGGGACUGAGACACGGCCCAAACUCCUACGGGAGGCAGCAGUGGGGAAUAUUGCACAAUGGGGGAAACUCUGACGCAGUGACGCCGCGUGCAGGAAGAAGGUUUUCGGAUUGUAAACUGCUUUAGACAGGGAAGAAAUAAGACAGUACCUGUAGAAUAAGCUACCGGGCUAACUACGUG